rnacentral:rRNA from 1 species
GACGAACGCUGGCGGCGUGCUUAACACAUGCAAGUCGAACGGAAAGGCCCUGCUUUUGUGGGGUGCUCGAGUGGCGAACGGGUGAGUAACACGUGAGUAACCUGCCCUUGACUUUGGGAUAACUUCAGGAAACUGGGGCUAAUACCGGAUAGGAGCUCCUGCUGCAUGGUGGGGGUUGGAAAGUUUCGGCGGUUGGGGAUGGACUCGCGGCUUAUCAGCUUGUUGGUGGGGUAGUGGCUUACCAAGGCUUUGCCGGGUAGCCGGCCUGAGAGGGUGACCGGCCACAUUGGGACUGAGAUACGGCCCAGACUCCUACGGGAGGCAGCAGUGGGGAAUAUUGCACAGUGGGCGGAAGCCUGAUGCAGCAACGCCGCGUGCGGGAUGACGGCCUUCGGGUUGUAAACCGCUUUCGCCUGUGACGAAGCGUGAGUGACGGUAAUGGGUAAAGAAGCACCGGCUAACUACGUG